UCCUCCCCCUUCCCCCGAUCCCGACCCCCGAUCGGAGCAACGCCGCCGGCGUGCACCCAACAUUCCCCACCGCCAGAAAAUAGAGAACUGGGUUUUUUCCGUCAAAAAAUAGAGAACAGGGGUUUCCCUCCGUCGGGCCACCGCGGAGUGGUCGACAGGGGACUAGUUUGUCUUGGCGCCGGAGACGGGAGCAUCGCCGGCCACCUGAGUGGAGGAGGGAGGCGCACACAUCGGAUAGGGGGUUGAACUCCAGUAUUCUCUUGCGGCGAGGCCGAACAGCAGAAGCGGAGGGAGUCACUGGCCGGCGGCCGCUCCGCUAAUUCGCGAUGAAAUAAAAUCUGGCAAGAGUGAUAAGGAGAUAUACAAAAAAUUAGAAGACGACUUUGGAGAAACAGUUCUAUAUGCCCCUAAAUUUGAUAUUCAAACUGCCGCUAUAUGGUUAUCGCCGGUCAUUGUGGGUGGGGUUGCAGCUGGUGUCUGGGCUUACCAAAAGCAUAGGCAAAGGACUAACGUUCACAUUAUGGCUCUGAACCUUGUCCGAGGGGUUCCCCUGACUCCAAGGGAGAAGGAGACGAUGAUUGACAUCCUUACACCGCCUCUUCUAACUAGGAGAUGGUGGUGGCCUGUCAAGUGAUGUUCAUGUCCUGCGAUGAAACAUAUAGUACUAAUUUGCAGUGUUAGCAUUAUAUGGAUGAUCAGGAUGGCUGAAUUUGGCGCAUGGCUUUGGUCUACAUCUCACAUCCUUGAAGCUUCGGCUACAAAUGUUUGGUUUAACCAGAUGCUUGGGAGGCCUUUCGCAGAUGCUGCAGUUCGCAUGCAGGUUGUGGGGUAUUGGAAGUUUAAAGAACAGCCUGCUGUUGAAGUGUAGGGGUAGUUGCUUACUUCCCAGGUGUGUUGUUGAACUGAUAAACAUGUAUCGCCGCUACUGAUGCUCAUGUAGCAGAACUUUGUCCCCAAAAUAAGCUACUCGUACGACUUCUUAUUUCCUCUGA